rnacentral:lncRNA from 1 species
UGCGCGGUGGCGGCGGCAGCGGCGGCGGCGGCGGCGGCGGCGUCUCCGGCCCCAGCCCUUUGAGCGGACUGCUGAGGCAGCUGAGGAGGUACCUGCGGCCCCGCCGCCGAGGGGAGGGGGACGCCGCUGAGCGCGGGGGUUACAGCGGGAGCCCGGGCUUUCCUCGCUCCCGCCCUCCCCGCUGCUGAGUGGGCUCCCGAGGUGAUUCCCCAGCCCCGCGCACGCCUGCUGAGACGGAGGUGUGGAGUGCCGCGGACGGGGACCCAGCUCCGGCGGUCAGAGACGCAGAGAUGACGAGGCAGCAGGGCCGGUGCUGCGCCGGCCUGGGAAGUCAGGCGCGGAGCCUGGAACCUGCGAACGCCGGCCGUGGCCAUUCCGAGGCAGGUUCGGCCCCACGUACCUUUUGAAGGGCCCGGUGUCGGGUUUUCCACCAACUCCUCCGACGCUGAGAGCGCCCAAUACCCAUUUUAGAGGAUGCCCUUUUGUUUUCAGAUAUUCUUGUAUAAGAACUGAAAAGUACCACUGGGAUUAAAAACGAGUGACAAACUGUAAACAUAAUUCUUCAAAACUCAUGUUCUUUUGAAAUCUUAAGCGGGCUUCUGUGCAACGCUUAGUAAAAAAACAGUUUGCCUCAGGAGGCUCUAUUUAAAUGACACAUAAUUAAUCCCCCAAAGUAGAGAUGCAAAGUAGAGAUGCAAACUCUCUGCCACCAUUCUAAGUGUUUUGUCUUUGUUGGUCUUAAAUGGCUCCACUGAGUAAGAGAGAAACUCAUUUUAUUUCUAUAACAAUUUCAAUAAUGUCAGGAUUUUCCAGUUCCUGCAGUAACCCAUUUUCUCUAGUUCAACUGCAUGAGAUGCAGAAAUGCCACUUUUUUCAACUAACAUGAGUUGACAUUCCCCCUCCCACACACAAAGAGCUGAAACCACAGUAAAAAUAUUUUUGAUGUUUUCAGGCUUGUGAUAUAAACCAAGUAAAACUUAAGGUGGCCUAUCUGUAGGCUUGAUUUUUAUUUUUCUAAUAAUUGAAACUUAUAUGGACAAUUUUGUAAAGAAAUUUAGGAGAUUAUCUAGACAAGUGUACACUAAGAGAAUAUAAAUAUAGCAGCUUUCCUUUCAUAAUCCAGAUCAUGGUUGUGAUUUACAGUGUUUUCUUGGCUAACCAGUUGUGAAAGGUAUUGUAUUUCGGAGUACUUACAUUCCAAUUGAGUCUCAGAAUAUUGCAUCAAUAUUUCUAGAAAAGAUCAUUUCCAGCAACAGUAAUUUAUAGAGUAGCUAGCUUUGUGUUCAGAAAUGGAAUGGAAUGGAUGCAUUGUGAAUCAUUAGACGUUGCAGUCACAGGGAGAUUUUAAAAGUAAUUUGAUCAAAAUAACACUGCUAAUAAUAACAAUGAACAUUAUUGAGCACUGUGCUAAGUACUUUACAUAUAUUUUAUCCUCAAAACAGCUCUAUCAUUAGCCACAUUUCACAGAUGAAAAACUCUUGGCUAUCACAUUCACUUCCUAUCCCCAGAGCCUAUUACACAUAGUUCAAUAACUGUUGAAUAAAUUAAUGAAUAAGACUUAAAGAGGUUAAGUAAUUUGUCUGAGGUCAUGAUGCAUGAUUGUAAUACCAAUUUAAGGUGAUUCCAGAAUAUGAGUUGUUAAAACCUGUAAAAAGGUUUGUAUCGUGGUCACAACAUGAACAGUAUUUUGGAAGGGGGAAGUUCUAUUGAAUGUUAAAACUGAAUACAUCUCAUUAGAAAGUUAACUGCAGGAGUUCCUGUCAUGGCUCAGUGAAAGUGAACCAACUAGUGUCCAUGAGGAUGCAGGUUUGAUCACUGACCUUGCUCAGUGGGUUAAGGAUCUGGCAUUGCCAUGAGCUGUAGUGUAAGUCGCAGGUGAGGUUCUGAUCCCUCAUUGCUGUGGCUGUGGCUCCAAUUUGACCUCUAGCCUAAGAACUUCCAUAUGCCUUGGGUGGGACCCUGAAAAGACCAAAAAAAAAAAAAAAGUUAACCGCAAAGGUGUCUGAGAGUCACCACAAGUGUUCCUGACCAGCUCCAACUAUGAGAAUAUAGUGAGUAAAGAAAUCUGUCUGAAAUGCCAAACAGUAUAUCCUGUGUUUGCAUGACAAGCAGCCAGACCAUAUAUCAUUGCAAGCAAGCUUAAAGUGAGAUAUUAUUUGCAUAAUGAAUGGAAUAUCAAUCAAAACAAAUGCCAAAGACCAGGGUGCAGUAAAAAUAAAAGAUAUACCUUUCAUGAAAAGACCAGUGCCAAACAGAUGGAAAAAAGAUCCUAGAGAAAGAGUAUUUUGAGAAUUACAUCACAGAAUUAAGUUGUACCUGUUCUCCUCCUAUUUAUGACACAAUAAGGAUUUUAACUACCUGAGAUAAUCAAGGCCUUAGGUUUUGUCGCAAGUCCUCCUUCCUGAGGUUUCCCCUACAAAAUGUACAAAAGAUCACAAAUUUGCUUUUGAUUUUGACAGUAUAAUAGGCAUUAAUUGUUUCACUUAAUUUGUUCAGAACAUAACUGACUUUUCACUCAAAUAUUCUUUACUUGGGGUGAAGAAAAAUGAAAUGAUUAAAUAAUCAUUGCCUUCACUCUCUUAUUAACUCCAAAUGACUCAGCUAAAUCUUUCUUGAAUUUUUUCCACUUUUUGAAUAAACUAGCUUUUUAUUCUCUUGCCUAUUGUUUAAAAUGUUAAUUCUUGCCCCAUUUUUUAAAUUGUAGUAUAAUGUGAUUACAUACAAACUUCUACCUCUUAAUUUUGCCUACUCAAUGUACAAUACAGUUUCAAAGAUUAGGAGGAAAGGAAUGUUGUCAUAAAAUACAUAUCAAAAUAAUGCACUAAAUGAUAUGUCACACAUACUUCAAUAGUGUAGAUAAAAAACCAAGCAUUUUUUGGAAGCAAGCAAAGAAGAAAUAUUAAAUUGAUGCAUUCAAUUGGAUAUAAACUUGUAAGAUGUUUGCAACCAUAUCAGAAUAAACCACUUUAAAUCAUAUAUUAAUGUACCCAUUAUAGUUUUAUCUUUUUAUUUGUCUUUUUUUGUUUUUUAAUGAUUUUUAUUUUUUAAUUAUAAUUGGUUUACAGUGUUCUAUUUCUAUUGUACAGCAUUAUUUGUCUUUUAAACCCUCUAGAUUUCAAUAAAAAAUUAAAAUCUCUUGAGCAAAAUGUUUUAGAUAAGAUUUUAUAGCAUAUGUAAUGAGUCUAAGUGCUUCAGAUACGGAAUUUGCAAAGGUCCUCUUAUUUACUUCUGGGAAGUAGAAAAUCGUGUGAAAUGAGAAAAUGAUAUUGUUCUAGUAAGAAAUAGAAAAAUCUGGUGGUUUUGUCAAUUUGGAUAUCCUUCAUGGCCUUAUUAAGGUAUAUAGUCUAUCAACUUUUUCACAAGUCAAUUUUUCUUCUUAACCCACCUAUGUGUACAUCUUACUCUGAUGGCUCCACGAUGAAUGGUAACAUUUCUUCAACUUACCACCCCAACUGCAAUACUAUUUUUGAUGAAAUCCCAGAUGGAAAUGAUGACGUCUAUUCUUAUCUGAUUAUACUUUCACCAUUUAUAAAAUGAUGGCACCUUUUAACUAGACUGACUUUGAAAUCCUCAUCAUAUUGCACAUGUCAUCUUGCACAUCUCUGCAUAGGCAAUGUAGACAAAGCUCAACCACAGUCUGACACAUGUCAUGGCGAAAUGCCCCGUGAUCUUCCCUGGAACAUGAUAAGACAGUCUUAGGAGGAACUAACGCAAAUCCAUUUCUCUCUUGCCACCCUGGUUCCAGGGAGGCAUGGGACUUUCCAUCUCAAAGCAUCUUCGUGUACAGCUUCAGACUAAAGAACUAUUCAGCUGAAGUUUAGAGUUGGCGCCUCGAUGACAAAGUGACCCACCCACCAAUUGUAUCGUCUGUCAUCUGGACCCUCCAGUUUGGUCAACCUGUGGGACCAGGGACAUGGGGAAUUGACACCAUGCUGAGCUUGUGUUACUGUCUGUGUAAAUAAUAAACUUUCUAAAUC